rnacentral:rRNA from 1 species
GACGAACGCUGGCGGCGUGCUUAACACAUGCAAGUCGAACGGAAAGGCCCUGCUUUUGUGGGGUGCUCGAGUGGCGAACGGGUGAGUAACACGUGAGUAACCUGCCCUUGACUUUGGGAUAACUUCAGGAAACUGGGGCUAAUACCGGAUAGGAGCUCCUGCUGCAUGGGGGGGGUUGGAAAGUUUCGGCGGUUGGGGAUGGACUCGCGGCUUAUCAGCUUGUUGGGGGGGUAGUGGCUUACCAAGGCUUUGACGGGUAGCCGGCCUGAGAGGGUGACCGGCCACAUUGGGCCUGAGAUACGGCCCAGACUCCUACGGGAGGCAGCAGUGGGGAAUAUUGCACAAUGGGCGGAAGCCUGAUGCAGCAACGCCGCGUGCGUGAUGACGGCCUUCGGGUUGUAAACCGCUUUCGCCUGUGACGAAGCGUGAGUGACGGUAAUGGGUAAAGAAGCACCGGCUAACUACGUG